rnacentral:rRNA from 1 species
ACUCAAAGGAAUAGACGGGGGCCCGCACAAGCAGCGGAGCGUGUGGUUUAAUUCGAUGCAACGCGCAGAACCUUACCUCGGCUUGACAUGCACGUGGUACCAACCCGAAAGGGGCGGGACCCGCAAGGGAGCGUGCACAGAUGCUGCAUGGCUGUCGUCAGCUCGUGCCGUGAGGUGUUGGGUUAAGUCCCGCAACGAGCGCAACCCCCGCCGUCAGUUACCUUCUCUGGCGGGACCGCCGGUACAAACCGGAGGAAGGUGGGGAUGACGUCAAGUCAGCACGGCUCUUACGUCGAGGGCGACACACACGCUACAAUGGCCGGUACAGAGGGCCGCGACGGGGUGACCCCGAGCAAAUCCCAGCAAAGCCGGUCUCAGUUCGGAUUGCAGGCUGCAACCCGCCUGCAUGAAGUCGGAGUUGCUAGUAACCGCUGGUCAGCACACAGCGGUGAAUACGUUCCCGGGCCUUGUACACACCGCCCGU